rnacentral:rRNA from 1 species
UACGUAGGGUGCAAGCGUUGUCCGGAAUUAUUGGGCGUAAAGAGCGUGUAGGCGGCCCGACCAGUCCGCUGUGAAAGUCCAGGGCUCAACCCUGGAAUGCCGGUGGAUACUGUCGGGCUAGAGUCCGGAAGGGGCGAGUGGAAUUCCUGGUGUAGCGGUGAAAGUGCGCAGAUAUCAGGAGGAACACCGGUGGCGAAGGCGGCUCUCUGGGCCUUACCUGACGCUGAGGAGCGAAAGCGUGGGUAGCGAACAGG